CUUAAAUUUCCCCCCAGUGACAAAUGCAGUGCCCAAAACUCGUGGUGCCAAGCAGAACAGCUGGGCAGGCUCGUCUGGAAAGGGGCGUUCAUGCCCUGAGCUGUUUUUGAAACUCCAAUAUCCCUGUUCUCAAUGAUGACAUCAGCACACUGCAAGAUGAUUUGAGGAACCUCAGCCCUGCCUGGCAGCACUGACUGACCCCUGAGCUGGCAGGCAGGAGGGGAGAGCAUUUGAAAGAAUGAGCAAAGCCACCUUCAAAGAGGUUUGGAAAACUCUGUGGAAACUCUGGAAAUCAGGUGGCUAAUAGACACAAAGGAUAAUCCUGUCAGAGCAGAUUAACUUCUGGAUCUGCUGGAUUCUUCCAUUCCAUGCUUUGUUUGCAAUAAAUGGUACCCGGCCAUGCCCAGGAGCAGCCCAAGCAUCCCCGGGGAGCGGCACAAAGGCAGCUCAGCACAAACACUGCUCAAAGCUGGCAGGGACAAAGAGCCAGCGUGGGGCUGGGUGACAUCACUGUGGAUGGCACCAUGCUGCAGGACAGCCCCGGCCCCCGGGCAGGAACAGGCACUCCAAGGAUGCCAGUGCCAAGCCGUCCUUCCUCAAGAGCAAAAGACAGGCUGGAG